rnacentral:rRNA from 1 species
CGUAGGGACCGAGCGUCGUCCGGAUUCAUUGGGCGUAAAGAGCUCGUAGGCGGCCACUCAAGUCGAAUGUGAAACCUCGAGGCUCAACCUCGAGCCUGCAUUCGAUACUGGGCGGCUAGAGUCUGGUAGGGGGAUCUGGAAUUCCUGGUGUAGCGGUGGAAUGCGCAGAUAUCAGGAGGAACACCGGUGGCGAAGGCGGGAUCCUGGGCCAGUACUGACGCUGAGGAGCGAAAGCGUGGGGAGCAAACAGGAUUAGAUACCCUGGUAGUCCACGCCGUAAACGAUGGGCGCUAGGUGUGGGAGGUCAUCGACUCCUUCCGUGCCGCAGCUAACGCAUUAAGCGCCCCGCCUGGGGAGUACGGCCGCAAGGCUA